rnacentral:rRNA from 1 species
UACGUAGGGGGCAAGCGUUGUCCGGAUUUAUUGGGCGUAAAGAGCGUGUAGGCGGCCGUACAGGUCAGCUGUGAAAACUCGAGGCUCAACCUCGGGUCUGCAGUCGAUACGAGCAAACUAGAGUGUUGCAGGGGAGACUGGAAUUCCUGGUGUAGCGGUGAAAUGCGCAGAUAUCAGGAGGAACACCGGUGGCGAAGGCGGGUCUCUGGGCAACAACUGACGCUGAGGAGCGAAAGCGUGGGGAGCGAACAUG